GCUUGCUCCCUGAUGUUAGCGGCGGACGGGUGAGUAACACGUGGGUAACCUGCCUGUAAGACUGGGAUAACUCCGGGAAACCGGGGCUAAUACCGGAUGCUUGUUUGAACCGCAUGGUUCAGACAUAAAAGGUGGCUUCGGCUACCACUUACAGAUGGACCCGCGGCGCAUUAGCUAGUUGGUGAGGUAACGGCUCACCAAGGCGACGAUGCGUAGCCGACCUGAGAGGGUGAUCGGCCACACUGGGACUGAGACACGGCCCAGACUCCUACGGGAGGCAGCAGUAGGGAAUCUUCCGCAAUGGACGAAAGUCUGACGGAGCAACGCCGCGUGAGUGAUGAAGGUUUUCGGAUCGUAAAGCUCUGUUGUUAGGGAAGAACAAGUGCCGUUCAAAUAGGGCGGCACCUUGACGGUACCUAACCAGAAAGCCACGGCUAACUACGUGCCAGCAGCCGCGGUAAUACGUAGGUGGCAAGCGUUGUCCGGAAUUAUUGGGCGUAAAGGGCUCGCAGGCGGUUUCUUAAGUCUGAUGUGAAAGCCCCCGGCUCAACCGGGGAGGGUCAUUGGAAACUGGGGAACUUGAGUGCAGAAGAGGAGAGUGGAAUUCCACGUGUAGCGGUGAAAUGCGUAGAGAUGUGGAGGAACACCAGUGGCGAAGGCGACUCUCUGGUCUGUAACUGACGCUGAGGAGCGAAAGCGUGGGGAGCGAACAGGAUUAGAUACCCUGGUAGUCCACGCCGUAAACGAUGAGUGCUAAGUGUUA
rnacentral:rRNA from 1 species